rfam:Schistosoma haematobium scaffold1062_9, whole genome shotgun sequence.
GCACUGCUUGGGAGUCCCACAAUAGGACGAAACGGCCGUCCAGUGC